CACGGGGGGAGCAAGCGUUGUUCGGAAUCACUGGGCGUAAAGAGCUCGUAGGCGGCUUGGCAAGUCGGGUGUGAAAACUUCAGGCUCAACCUGGAGCGGCCACUCGAUACUGCUAUGGCUUGAGUCCGGUAGGGGACCACGGAAUUCCUGGUGUAGCGGUGAAAUGCGCAGAUAUCAGGAGGAACACCAGUGGCGAAGGCGGUGGUCUGGGCCGGAACUGACGCUGAGGAGCGAAAGCGUGGGUAGCAAACAGG
rnacentral:rRNA from 1 species